rnacentral:rRNA from 1 species
AUUGAACGCUGGCGGCAGGCCUAACACAUGCAAGUCGAAUGGUAACAGGAAACAGCUUGCUGUUUCGCUGACGAGUGGCGGACGGGUGAGUAAUGUCUGGGAAACCGCCUGAUGGAGGGGGAUAACUACUGGAAACGGUAGCUAAUACCGCAUAACGUCGCAAGACCAAAGAGGGGGACCUUCGGGCCUCUUGCCAUCAGAUGUGCCCAGAUGGGAUUAGCUAGUAGGUGGGGUAACGGCUCACCUAGGCGACGAUCCCUAGCUGGUCUGAGAGGAUGACCAGCCACACUGGAACUGAGACACGGUCCAGACUCCUACGGGAGGCAGCAGUGGGGAAUAUUGCACAAAGGGCGCAAGCCUGAUGCAGCCAUGCCGCGUGUAUGAAGAAGGCCUUCGGGUUGUAAAGUACUUUCAGCGGGGAGGAAGGGAGUAAAGUUAAUACCUUUGCUCAUUGACGUUACCCGCAGAAGAAGCACCGGCUAACUCCGUG